AACGUACGCUGGCGGCACGCCUAACACAUGCAAGUCGAACGAAGUAGCAAUACUUAGUGGCAGACGGGUGAGUAACAUGUAGGUAUCUGCCCUUUGGCCUGGAAUAACACGAGGAAACUUGUGCUAAUACCGGAUAAGUCUUUACGGAGAAAGCUUUAUGCACCAUUGGAUGAGCCUGCACUUGAUUAGUUUGUUGGUGGGGUAAUGGCCUACCAAGACUGUGAUCAAUAGCUGAUUUGAGAGGAUGAUCAGCCACAUUGGGACUGAGACACGGCCCAAACUCCUACGGGAGGCAGCAGUGGGGAAUCUUGCACAAUGGAGGAAACUCUGAUGCAGCGAUGCCGCGUGAGUGAAGAAGGCCCUUGGGUUGUAAAGCUCUUUCGUCGGGGAAGAAAAUGACUGUACCCGAAUAAGAAGGUCCGGCUAACUUCGUGCCAGCAGCCGCGGUAAUACGAAGGGACCUAGCGUAGUUCGGAAUUACUGGGCUUAAAGAGUUCGUAGGUGGUUGAAAAAGUUAGUGGUGAAAUCCCAGAGCUUAACUCUGGAACUGCCAUUAAAACUUUUCAGCUAGAGUAUGAUAGAGGAAAGCAGAAUUUCUAGUGUAGAGGUGAAAUUCGUAGAUAUUAGAAAGAAUACCAAUUGCGAAGGCAGCUUUCUGGAUCAUUACUGACACUGAGGAACGAAAGCAUGGGUAGCGAAGAGGAUUAGAUACCCUCGUAGUCCAUGCCGUAAACGAUGUGUGUUAGACGUUGGAAAUUUAUUUUCAGUGUCGCAGGGAAACCGAUAAACACACCGCCUGGGGAGUACGACCGCAAGGUUAAAACUCAAAUGAAUUGACGGGGACCCGCACAAGUAGUGGAGCAUGUGGUUUAAUUCGAAGAUACGCGCAGAACCUUACCAACACUUGACAUGUUCGUCGCGACUCUAAGAGAUUAGAGUUUUCGGUUCGGCCGGACGAAACACAGGUGCUGCAUGGCUGUCGUCAGCUCGUGUCGUGAGAUGUUGGGUUAAGUCCCGCAACGAGCGCAACCCUCACUUUUAGUUGCCAUCAUUAAGUUGGGCACUCUGAAAGAACUGCCAGUGAUAAGCUGGAGGAAGGUGGGGAUGACGUCAAGUCCUCAUGGCCCUUACGUGUUGGGCUACACACGUGCUACAAUGGUAUCUACAACAGGAAGCAAGACUGCGAAGUUAAGCAAAUCCCGAAAAGAUACCUCAGUUCGGAUUGCACUCUGCAACUCGAGUGCAUGAAGCUGGAAUUACUAGUAAUCGUGGAUCAGCGUGCCACGGUGAAUGCGUUCCCGGGUCU
rnacentral:rRNA from 1 species